AUUGAACGCUGGCGGCAUGCCUUACACAUGCAAGUCGAACGGCAGCACGGGAGCAAUCCUGGUGGGCGAGUGGGCGAACGGGGUGAGUAAUAUAUCGGAACGUGCCCAGUCGUGGGGGAUAACGUAGCGAAAGCUACGCUAAUACCGCAUACGAUCUAUGGAUGAAAGCGGGGGAUCGCAAGACCUCGCGCGAUUGGAGCGGCCGAUAUCAGAUUAGGUAGUUGGUGAGGUAAAGGCUCACCAAGCCGACGAUCUGUAGCUGGUCUGAGAGGACGACCAGCCACACUGGGACUGAGACACGGUCCAGACUCCUACGGGAGGCAGCAGUGGGGAAUUUUGGACAAUGGACGCAAGUCUGAUCCAGCCAUUCCGCGUGCAGGAUGAAGGCCCUCGGGUUGUAAACUGCUUUUGUACGGAACGAAAAGGUUUCUAUUAAUACUAGGAGCUCAUGACGGUACCGUAAGAAUAAGCACCGGCUAACUACGUG
rnacentral:rRNA from 1 species